AGAGUAGGCAUGAGUCUGUUAAACACAGUUAUGGUCACAAAUACUACAGUAAUAAUUUAAGUAAACCAUUAACUUUCUAUAAUUACUGUAAAAUAAUCCACCCUUCAAUGGGAACUCAACUAAUCUUUAAUACUAGGUGCUUCAGUCUAAAAAGAACAUUGAUAAACAAAGAUUUUUUAAAGGAUUGGGGAUGGAGUCUAUAAAAGAACUGGAUAUGCUUAAUCUGGAAGGAAGAAAACUGAGGGGAGCCUUGUUACUUGUCCUAUCACUGCCAAAUAUUUUUUAUCAUAGACAGUGUGCCCUCACUAGAAAGGUACUGACAAUGGCAUGCUUAGACACUUUGCCCUCUAUGAUAAUGAUAGGAAUCUUUAACAAUAUCUCCAACCACGACUGCUUAUGCAAAUGCUUAUGCAAAUUGAGACAGUUUACAUGUACUUCUUAAAUGCCCUAUUAAUCAUUCUCAGAGGGCAGAGCUAAUCACUCUUCUAAUCUUAAAUUAUUCAGGCUGGUCUCAAUGGGCAAUUAUGUACAUCCUAUUAAAUGACCAGGCCUGUCAUCUGAAAAAUGGCCAAAUUCAGUGCUAUAGAAAUAAGUUUGUUAUAUAGUAGUUUGUAUGCUCUAUUUCUACCGCAAACAGAAUUGUUAUACUGGAUGGUAUACAUUUUGAUCUAUGUCUGUAAUAAACUAAAACAAUAUAAUAAUACAGUGGAUGCUCUAUGGUAGUUUAUUAUAGGAAUAUGCAAAAUUCAAUCAUUUGGAAACUUUUCUGUUGUUUUCCUCUUCAAAAUGCUAUAUAGUAGAGUGCUGUAAGUAAAAUCAGCUUGUAGAUUUUCCAGAAGAAGAAACAGACAGUGGUAAAGAACUGUG